UAGGGAAUCUUCCGCAAUGGACGCAAGUCUGACGGAGCAACGCCGCGUGAGUGAAGAAGGAUUUCGGUUCGUAAAACUCUGUUGUUAGAGAAGAACAGCGCAUAGAGUAACUGUUAUGCGUGUGACGGUAUCUAACCAGAAAGCCACGGCUAACUACGUGCCAGCAGCCGCGGUAAUACGUAGGUGGCAAGCGUUGUCCGGCUUUAUUGGGCGUAAAGCGAGCGCAGGCGGUCAAUUAAGUCUGAUGUGAAAGCCCCCGGCUCAACCGGGGAGGGUCAUUGGAAACUGGUUGACUUGAGUGCAGAAGAGGAGAGUGGAAUUCCAUGUGUAGCGGUGAAAUGCGUAGAUAUAUGGAGGAACACCAGUGGCGAAGGCGUCUCUCUGGUCUGUAACUGACGCUGAGGCUCGAAAGCGUGGGUAGCAAACAGG
rnacentral:rRNA from 1 species